rnacentral:rRNA from 1 species
GAUGAACGCUAGCUACAGGCUUAACACAUGCAAGUCGAGGGACCCGCGCACGGGUGAGUAAUACGUAACCAACCUUCCUUUUACUCGUGGCUAGCCUUUCGAAAGAAAGAUUCCUACCAGAUAUAAUGUAUGGGGCUGCGUUCCAUUAGGUUGUUGGUGAGGUAACGGCCCACCAAGCCUUCGAUGGAUAGGGGUUCUGAGAGGAAGAACCCCCAAAUUGGAACUGAGACACGGUCCAAACUCCUACGAGAGGCAGCAGUGAGGAAUAUUAGUAAAUGGGCGUUAGCCUGAACCAGCCAAGUAGCGUGAAGGAUGAAGGCUUAUGGGUCGUAAACUUCUUUUAUAUAAGAAUAUGUAUUAUAUGAAUAAGGAUCGGCUAACUCCGUGCCAGCAGCCGCGGUAAUUC